rnacentral:rRNA from 1 species
AUUGAACGCUGGCGGCAUGCCUUACACAUGCAAGUCGAACGGUAACAGGUCUUCGGAUGCUGACGAGUGGCGAACGGGUGCGUAAUACAUCGGAACGUGCCCGAUCGUGGGGGAUAACGAAGCGAAAGCUUUGCUAAUACCGCAUACGAUCUACGGAUGAAAGCAGGGGACCGCAAGGCCUUGCGCGAACGGAGCGGCCGAUGGCAGAUUAGGUAGUUGGUGGGAUAAAAGCUUACCAAGCCGACGAUCUGUAGCUGGUCUGAGAGGACGACCAGCCACACUGGGACUGAGACACGGCCCAGACUCCUACGGGAGGCAGCAGUGGGGAAUUUUGGACAAUGGGCGAAAGCCUGAUCCAGUCAUGCCGCGUGCAGGAUGAAGGCCUUCGGGUUGUAAACUGCUUUUGUACGGAACGAAAAGACUCUGGUUAAUACCUGGGGUCCAUGACGGUACCGUAAGAAUAAGCACCGGCUAACUACGUG